UACAGAGGAGCCAAGCGUUGUCCGGAUUGACUGGGCGUAAAGCGCACGCAGGCGGUCUGGCGCGUGGGGUGUGAAAUCUGGCCGCUUAACGGCCAGGCGCCAUCCCAUACGGCCGGACUGGAGCCUUGCAGAGGUCGGUGGAAUUCCUGGUGUAGCGGUGAAAUGCGCAGAUAUCAGGAGGAACACCGAUGGCGAAGGCAGGUCUCUGGGCCGAUACUGACGCUGAGGAGCGAAAGCGUGGGGAGCGAACAGG
rnacentral:rRNA from 1 species